UACGUAGGUGGCAAGCGUUAUCCGGAUUUAUUGGGCGUAAAGGGAACGCAGGCGGUCUUUUAAGUCUGAUGUGAAAGCCUUCGGCUUAACCGGAGUAGUGCAUUGGAAACUGGGAGACUUGAGUGCAGAAGAGGAGAGUGGAACUCCAUGUGUAGCGGUGAAAUGCGUAGAUAUAUGGAGGAACACCAGUGGCGAAGGCGACGAUCUGGGCUGCAACUGACGUUCAGUCCCGAAAGCGUGGGGAGCAAAUAGG
rnacentral:rRNA from 1 species